GAUGAACGCUGGCGGCGUGCUUAACACAUGCAAGUCGAACGAUUGAAGCUGGAGCUUGCUCCGGCCGAUUUAGUGGCGGACGGGCGAGUAACGCGUGGGUAACCUGCCUCAUACAGGGGGAUAGCAGUUGGAAACGACUGGUAAAACCGCAUAAGCGCACGGUGUCGCAUGACACAGUGUGAAAACACUCCGGUGGUAUGAGAUGGACCCGCGUCUGAUUAGCUAGUUGGUGAGGUAACGGCCCACCAAGGCGACGAUCAGUAGCCGGCCUGAGAGGGUGAACGGCCACAUUGGGACUGAGACACGGCCCAAACUCCUACGGGAGGCAGCAGUGGGGAAUAUUGCACAAUGGGGGAAACCCUGAUGCAGCGACGCCGCGUGAGUGAUGAAGUAUUUCGGUAUGUAAAGCUCUAUCAGCAGGGAAGAUAAUGACGGUACCUGACUAAGAAGCAC
rnacentral:rRNA from 1 species